GAUUUUUGGAUCCUAGUUUGAGGCAUAAUGCUCUAAGUUUGGUUAACUUGAGGUUGAUCAGCCAUAUAAUGUGGUUGGAGACAAGGAUGUUCAUUGAGCUGCAGAAGUUGGAGAACUCGUCUGGUCAUGAUAGUAACGUAAUGAUUGGUUGUGGGAUACUGUUCUAUGUUUGGUACUUCUGUGGAACGCAAGGACCAGUGCGAGAUCUUGGCCAAAUUGGUCUCUUCAUGAGGACAUCAGAGUUGAAUGUAACUUUAAAAACAGAACUUGCUUAAUGUAGCGUCUAUAGACUUUUCUGAGCUACAAUAGCCUAAUCAAUUCUCUCAUCAGUUUCAUGUUCAAGGAAGGAGCUAGUCUGUAAAAACCAUUUCUUACUAUUAUUUUUGGUCUGUGUUGUAUCCGUUCACCGAAGAUCUCCUCUGUCAUGUAUAUUUUAAGUUUCAUGUACUUAGAUAGAUGAACAUUAUUUCUGAAGAAUGAUAUGGAGGACCUUUUCAAUUA